rnacentral:lncRNA from 1 species
GUAACGUGUAGGCACAUGACAUAAUGGGUCCGCGGCUCAGGAGCGCAUCUGAAACGCCUUUGGGAUGCAGUUGGAGAAACUGGCAGAGUUAUGGCAAGAGAUCAGUGAGCCUUCAUGAGAUCACCCAGGAUCAUGUGAUCGCCUAAAAGCCAACUGAUAUCUUAGGCUCAUCUCCUGGACCACUGUAGUCUUUGCUGCUUGUACAUUGUGGUGUUUGCCUUUAUUUUAUGACGCUUCAACAUGAGAAGUCCUUUGAGGAUAUAACUUAUACAUAGAAGUUGUCACACUUUGCAAUAACAAAAACUAUUGGUGCAGAGCGGGAAGGGCGUGUGCUGGCAGCGGGGUGUAGGAAGACGCCUGCUUAACCUUAGCUGCUCGAAGUUUGAUGGGAACUCAGGUGAGAAAAUGUAUGCAGUGUCAACAGUAAACAAUACCAACAGUGAACAAACACCCUCACCAGUAUGGCGGAG